GGAAGUAAAAGUCGUAACAAGGUUUCCGUAGGUGAACCUGCGGAAGGAUCAUUGACGAGCUAGCGAAACAUUGUAAACAUGUUGAGAUGUUGCCCAAGUACGUGGGGUGCGUGUAGAUGGUCGCAAGGGCGUCGGCUCCCACCCCACUCGCUCCCUCGUCCGUGAGGAGGCGAAGAUAACCAUCCCAUGGUGCACGCGGUGUGCCAAGGAAACAAAGUGUGGGGUUGGCUUAGACCUCCCUUCCGGGCGUGUUCAGCGUCCCUAUUUUUACGACUCUCGGCAACGGAUAUCUCGGCUCUCGCAUCGAUGAAGAACGUAGCGAAAUGCGAUACUUGAUGUGAAUUGCAGAAUCCCGUGAACCAUCGAGUCUUUGAACGCAAGUUGCGCCUGAGGCGAUCUCGCUAAAGGCACGCCUGCCUGGGUGUCACGCUAUUCGCCGCGCCCCUCCUGAUCCACGUUCGGGAUGGGAGCGUUGUUUGGCUUCCCGUUUGCGUCCGCAAUGACGGCUAGCCUAAAUGAAUCGUGUCCGGCACUUACAACUGGACGCCUCGUGCCCUGGUGGUCGCCGCGUACGGCUGCUAAGGUCGAGGCCCCGUUGAACUGUUGGGGCAUGCUAGACCAACCCCGGUGGCGUUCCACGAGUUUUCACGUGCGUCGCCUGCUUUCGCGACCCCAGGUCAGGCGGGAUCACCCGCUGAGUUUAAGCAUAUCAAUAA
rnacentral:rRNA from 1 species